ensembl:snRNA U6 U6 spliceosomal RNA
AUGCUUAGUUCAGCAGCAAAUGUACUAACACUGGAACAAUACAGAGAAGAUUAGCAUGGCCCCUGCGGAAGGAUGACACACAAAUUUGUGAAGCGUUCCAUAUUUUU